UCACCUUGCAGGCUGCCGGCCCCCAGGCUGGGCUGGGCGCGUAUCUCUUCCAAAGGCUCCCCCUCAAGCACGACUAGGAGC
rnacentral:pre_miRNA from 1 species